GCUAUCCAGAGAGGCAUGGCAGGUGCGACCGCUGUGUCACAUGUGUGUCAGUAGGCAGCAGAAAGGGGACAAGCUAUGUUUAUGCUCAGGAUGCUGAGCUAUGAACAUCUGAAUUAUUAGUAGCCUAACAUU